CAAGCAGGAAAAGAAAUUACUCCGGAUGUUCUUGCUACUGCAGAACUGGAGAAUUUGGGACCUCCAUUAUUGGAAGGUUUGGAUAUAUUAAUAGUUAAAAGUAAGCCUUCACCCAAGAAAAGCGAUCCUGAUCUAGAUGUAACUCAGUACCAAUCACCAUCAUUCCAAUGGUUCACAUCAAAGUCUUCAAAAAAGGUGAUCUUUGUGGUUCACCGUUAUCCUGUUUGCAUAUUUUCAUUUUGUUAGGAAGGAGUUUUUACAUAACCCCAAAUGGACUCAACUUUACAUUUUUUGGCCUUUUUUUGUUGGCGGGUUUGUAUUGGAGUUAUCAUAUACAUGCAAUUUUGGUGCAAUUAUGAUAUUUGGAUAUCUAAAUGUUUCUAUUUUUACUGUAAUCUUAAUAGUGGAGAUGGAUUAGUAUGAUAUCUAUAUUUUCUGGCCACUACCUUGACUCUCUUAUUGUUUGAUGCAUGAUAUGCAGCACCCUUUAUUCUGCUAUAGUUAUUGAGUUUAUCAUAAAGAGCACCUAUUUCUAAGGUAAUUUUACUUUUAACAUUUCUUUGCAU